UAUUCUGCCCCAUGGGGAAGGAUAAGAAGCUUCGACUAAGGUUCGACUCGAGCGAAGCGAGAGAACGUUGCCGCAGGCAACGGCCCGAAGGGCGAGGAGCGAUAGCGACGAGUUAUCCUUCCCCCACCACCA
rnacentral:sRNA from 1 species